rnacentral:misc_RNA from 1 species
GUGAAUCAUCAAAUUUUUGAACGCAAAUUGCACUCUUUGGUAUUCCGGAGAGUAUGCCUGUUUGAGGGUCAGGUUAAAUAAAAAUCGGUGUGGUUGCUGUAUUUCGUGGUGAUGUAUAGGUUUUGGGUCGUCUUGGCUUCGGUUAAGUGUCUUAAAAUUUUGAAUGAUUUUUUUCGAAAGUAUUUAAUUGAUUUUACGUACGUUUGCGUUAUCGAAAAAUAGGUGUGGUU